UCAUCUGUUUUGAAAAUAAUCUAACAUUGGGUGUUGUCAAUGGCUACCUUGGAAGAGUUCCGGAGCAGAACUGUCACAUCAUGCACACCCCUUGUACAACGAACCACAAAGGAGAUUUCAACGAGUCUGAGGCUAGAAAAGGAAGCACAUGUACUGAAUAUUUCACUGCACCCGACACCAUGGGGACUAAUCCCCAAACCAACUUCGUCUGGCUAUGUGGACUGACCAUAUACCAUUAUCUACCGGUCGGGUGGACAGGAAGAUGUGCCCCGGUACGGCCUACAGACCAUUCAUUUGUCAUUACUGCUACAGAGGUACAUCGUGGUAAGAGAGACAUUUUCACAAAACAUGAUUCCAUAUGGGGAACGGAUGUCCCCAAUGACCACAAGCUAUGGACCAACGGACAGAAAGUGAGCCUCGCCUUGUUCCCUUGGCUGGGGACUGGAAAGCUCAUGCUAAGGAUGGAGACUUUUGAUUACAGGUUUGAACAGUUUGUUAAUUCUACUCAAGCUGCAUUGAAAGGCAUUCGUGAGGAACUGACAGCCCUACGUAUGAUGGAACUUCAAGACCGUAUUGUCAGGCUCAAAAACAGAAGAGAUCCCAAUGCAGUAAACAGAGUUUUAUUUAAACAAUAAUGACAGCAAACAGACAAUGGCACGUCUGGGCAUAAAGCCACACCAGGGCAGACGGCUGAGACGGGGAACACACACAAACACCGGAGAGGGAAACCACACACGUUCGGGCUCCGGCCAGACAGCGAACGGUGGGAGAGAAUUUAGGAACCCCGAUACGGGACAGGAUGCGUAGACCGCUCCCGUGAGCGCCGCGUCACGAGAGCCAAAGGGACAAGGGAAAAUCCUGCGGCGGUCAGAGGGAGAGAGAGAGCGUUAGUGAUGCUGACGAGAGAAGCUGGACAACUCCAGUGAUUAAGGACCUCUCCAGUGGACAGCGACAAUGCCGCGAUGAGUCUCUGCAGUAAAGUGAUAGACCAGUCUAUAAAUCCAACAGAGGUUGAAGACAGUCCGUAACAGGCAGCAGAGAAACAGUCCAGAGAGCCGUCGAGUAAUCAGAGUCCACAGGAAAACUCUCGGGUAGCAGUGAGCUCAGACUGGGGUAGGAAAAAUAAAUCCACAAACUAGAAUCAGACACAAAACACGACUAGAAACUAGCGUAGCUAGAAAUGGCGAGAACAUACGCCGUGACAGACGAGUAUAUAGACAAACUUUGACAAACGAACUUGCCAAGACACACAGAGAUUAAAUACACAGACCAGACGAGAGGAUAACAAGCAACAGGUGAGGAAGACGAGAGGAGGUAAUCACACUGAACAGGAACACCUGUGAGAGAAGCACACGUGAACCUGAAAAACACAUACAAAAGACAACCACAGUACCAACAAGACAAAACCAUAAAUAUAUUUAUAUAUAUAUAAAAAAAUAUAUUAUGUUAAGUUGACAAAAUGUUUUUUAAGUGUUGCCAAUUGAAGUAAUUUGUUUCUGCUGAUCCAACUUUUACGUUUUACAGUGUAAUGUUCCGACUACAGUAAAUUCCUUCAUUCCUGCAUUUGGCUAUUUUAAAUAGAAGUUGAUUUAAAGAUUUAUUAGGGGCUAAAAGUUCAGAACAGGUUGUCUAUGCUUGUUUGAAGACCACACUGCAGUGUUUUAUUUUGUUUUAUGCCCCACAUUCACAGUAACAUGAACAAUUUAUAUCCAUGUUAAUACAAACUAAGCCCUAUAAUAUUGGCCCCUCUGUCUGUUAACUUUUGUUCGAGCCUGUCUAGAUCUUUUAUCAGUCUAGAAAGAUGUUGGAGAAAAGACACCAUCCUCUUCAAUACUCUCCAUCUGUAAUUGGGCUAACAACUGGACCAGUGAAGGCAGGUAACUUACUCUCCAUUCGACCUUGCAGGUCACACCAUGGUCAAGAGUAAAAAUGAGUGCUCUAUGGAUUGAACAGAAAAGGUGGAUCCACGCUUUAACCAUCUGUAUGAUGAUCUGCACCCACUGGAGCUGUAAAUGGUUGAGCAGUGUGUCCUGGUAAACGUGUUCCCGGAAACAUGCAGAUUACAGUAUCUACGACCUUGAGGCUAUUUUUUGCAUGACAUCCACUGAUGGAUCUGUUUACCUAAAAACAGUCACUAGCCCACCACAAUCCAUGUUUACCAGCUGUGAAAGUGCAGGCCAAAAAUCUUCCUUCACCUGUGGGCCUCUUCCCACAUGUAGAUAAGCACUUCAGGAGAAACCAGCCUGUGAUCUGCUAAGAUGCACAGAUUCAACUCUGGCCCAUUGUCAUCCCAACACCUCAUCUGCCAUCAGUUUCGUUUAGUGUCGGUCUAUUGCAAAAGUUCUUAUAAACUUUAAAUGAGACUUCCAAACCUUUCAUUCCACAACAUAUUAAGCCCAUGAUACACAGCAGGAUUUUUGCAAUCCUAUAAGACCUUAUCACAUUGUGUGACAAGGAUUGUUUAAACUUCAGCAGUAGACUGUCGAUGAAUGCGCUAGUGGACAUCCGUCAUCAUCAGCAUGCGCUAUAGUGGUAAACAAAUACAGGUACGCAGGUCGUAGAAGCAAACACGUUGUUGAUGUGCGUUGAUCAUGCUGAACUUCUUACACUGUCAUAAAACUAUCGUAGGUGUCUUUGGUCCCAGGACUGGGAAAACAGACGUCUUUAAACCUCCCACACUGUACGAGAUAGGACCACCAAUUAAGAGCCACGAUCACAGAAAUCUCCACGAUUGUUUCAGGAAUGGUAAUCUUUCAUCUGGGACGGCCAAAAAUCGUGCCGUGUAUUACAGGCUUUUGACAGGUGUAAUCUUAUAGUAUAUCAAAACCAUUGCUAAUAAUUAAUUGGACAAAGCAUCACUACAAUGCAACACUCACUAUCUUACUGUCUUCACCCACAGUUUAAAAACCCUGAGUAUGAGAAAGAGUAUGUUGUAUUGUAAUUAAAGUCACAUCUAAGUGUUAUGGAGCAGUUUGUCAUUAUAUUCACAGUAUUACAUGGUUCUUUCAGCAGUUACUACGUUACAGUGCUCUUAAAGUGUCCUGGUCAGCUUUGGGUCUUGUGAAGUAAUGUAAUGAGAAUGGGAUCAAUAGCUUUGCAGUAUUUUUGUUACACCGUGGCUGUAAUUGUAUUAACACAUAGGUUAAACAUUUUAUUCAAAUUUGGUAAACAAGCUAGUCAAUAUAAUUCAUGCUGUGAUGCUGGAUUAAACCUGGUCAAAUGAA